rnacentral:rRNA from 1 species
CCUACGGGUGGCAGCAGUGAGGAAUAUUGGUCAAUGGACGCGAGCCUGAACCAGCCAAGUAGCGUGAAGGAUGACUGCCCUACGGGUUGUAAACUUCUUUUAUACAGGAAUAAAGUGAGGCACGUGUGCCUGUUUGUAAGUACUUUAUGAAUAAUGAUCGGCUAACUCCGUGCCAGCAGCCGCGGUAAUACGGAGGAUCCGAGCGUUAUCCGGAUUUAUUGGGUUUAAAGGGAGCGUAGAUGGGUUGUUAAGUCAGUUGUGAAAGUUUGCGGCUCAACCGUAAAAUUGCAAUUGAUACUGGCAGCCUUGAGUGUAGUUGAGGUAGGCGGAAUGCGUGGUGUAGCGGUGAAAUGCUUAGAUAUCACGAAGAACACCGAUUGCGAAGGCAGCUUACUAAACUGCCACUGACGUUGAUGCUCGAAAGUGUGGGUAUCAAACAGGAUUAGAUACCCUUGUAGUC